UACGUAGGGGGCUAGCGUUGUCCGGAAUCAUUGGGCGUAAAGAGCGUGUAGGCGGCCCGGUAAGUCCGCUGUAAAAGUCAAAGGCUCAACCUUUGAAUGUCAGUGGAUACUGCCGGGCUAGAGUCCGGAAGAGGCGAGUGGAACUCCUGGUGGUAGCGGUGGAAUGCGCAGAUAUCAGGAAGAACACCAACGGCGAAGGCAGCUCGCUGGGACGGUACUGACGCUGGAGACGCGAAAGCGUGGGGAGCGAACAGG
rnacentral:rRNA from 1 species